rnacentral:rRNA from 1 species
UGGCCCUACGGGAGGCAGCAGUGGGGAACAUUGCACAAUGGGGGAAACCCUGAUGCAGCGACGCCGCGUGAGCGAAGAAGGAUUUCGGGAUGUAAAGCUCUAUCAGCAGGGAAGAAAAAUGACGGUACCUGAGUAAGAAGCACCGGCUAAAUACGAGCCAGCAGCCGCGGUAAUACGUAUGGUGCAAGCGUUAUCCGGAUUUACUGGGGGUAAAGGGAGCGCAGGCGGUGCGGCAAGGCUGAUGUGAAAGGCCGAGGCUCAACCC